UGGGGAAUAUUGCACAAUGGGCGGAAGCCUGAUGCAGCGACGCCGCGUGAGGGAUGACGGCCUUCGGGUUGUAAACCUCUUUCAGUAGGGACGAAGCGUAAGUGACGGUACCUGCAGAAGAAGCACCGGCUAACUACGUGCCAGCAGCCGCGGUAAUACGUAGGGUGCGAGCGUUGUCCGGAAUUACUGGGCGUAAAGAGCUCGUAGGCGGUUUGUCACGUCGUCUGUGAAAUCCUAGGGCUUAACCCUGGACGUGCAGGCGAUACGGGCUGACUUGAGUACUACAGGGGAGACUGGAAUUUCUGGUGUAGCGGUGGAAUGCACAGAUAUCAGGAAGAACACCGAUGGCGAAGGCAGGUUACUGGGCCGUUACUGACGCUGAGGAGCGAAAGCAUGGGGAGCGAACAGG
rnacentral:rRNA from 1 species